rnacentral:rRNA from 1 species
CCUACGGGGGGCUGCAGUAGGGAAUAUUGCGCAAUGGCCGGAAGUCUGACGCAGCGACGCCGCGUGAGCGAUGAAGGCCUUCGGGUCGUAAAGCUCUGUCCCUGGGGAAGAAGGUCUUCGGACUUGACGGUACCCAAGAAGAAAGCCCCGGCUAACUACGUGCCAGCAGCCGCGGUAAGACGUAGGGGGCAAGCGUUACCCGGAAUUACUGGGCGUAAAGGGGGCGUAGGCGGUAAAAGAAGUCAUCUGUGAAAACCUAUUGCUCAACGAUAGGCUAGCGGAUGAAACUGAAUUACUUGAGGGCACCAGAGGUAGACGGAAUUACCCGAGUAGGGGUGAAAUCCGCAGAUACGGGUAGGAACGCCGGUGGAGAAGUCGGUCUACUGGGGUGCACCAGACGCUGAGGCCCGAAAGCUAGGGGAGCAAACCGGAUUAGAUACCCCGGUAG